AUGUAGAUUGUGCCCAAAGAAAGUAAAGACGUCCAGCUGGUCCAAAAACCUGAGAAAUAGCGAAGGGUCCAGCUUGGGAUAUAGAAGAAGGACUAGGGGACGUAUACAAGACUGCACAAGGUUGAGGAGCAUCCAUGCUACCACUACAUAUAUAAAAAACUGUGUUGGUUAUGUCCUCAAGAGGUAUUCCCGUAUUAGAUUCUUCCCAUGAAAACGAAAUAGCGGUAAAAUCCAUACUAUCUGUUGUCGCCGGAGUGACGAAUCGAAUUUGCGCACAUACAUAAUGUAUGUAUGAGCAGACUAGCAAUACUAGCAUCAACAUGGUGGUUUUCAUUAAAUUCGACGGCUUGAAGAGACUUUGCAAAUUUAGUGGUAAGCGAUAUAUAUAAAU